GGGUGCGAUCAUACCAGCACUAAUGCACCGGAUCCCAUCAGAACUCCGAAGUUAAACGUGCUUGGGCGAGAGUAGUACUAAAAUGGGUGACCUCUUGGGAAGUCCUCGUGUUGCACCCU
rfam:Ricinus communis cultivar Hale ctg_1100012320190, whole genome shotgun sequence.